AUGAGCUCCACUUAUUUGAACAGGAUAUGUUCUGUAGGAUCUUACCGCUGCAUCCCUAGACUAAUAAGGAGGCCAGCACUAAGGUCUGGUUGAUUACAUCUGACCUGUAGGCCAGAGCGUGAUUAACGGUGAGGCACGGAGCGUUCAUGCUCUGUCCGGAUCUGUAGAGGAUCGUUCCUGGCCAGGCUUGCCUGUCUGGGGUGGCCCACAGGUUGUCUGACAGGCU